ensembl:ncRNA C06E8.6 ncRNA
AAAAAAGGAGCAGAGCUUGAUGUCAUAGGUCCCUGUGAUUCCUAUUUGAAACAAAAUUGAAUUAGUACCACGUCGAGAAGAUUCCAUCAGAAAAGAGACAAUAUUCCCUUUUAUUUUGAUGUGUAUCUUCUGCAAUCAAAAAA